UGGGGAAUUUUGGACAAUGGGGGAAACCCUGAUCCAGCCAUCCCGCGCGUGCGAUGAAGGCCUUCGGGUUGUAAAGCACUUUUGGCAGGAAAGAAACGUCAUGGGUUAAUACCCCGUGAAACUGACGGUACCUGCAGAAUAAGCACCGGCUAACUACGUGCCAGCAGCCGCGGUAAUACGUAGGGUGCAAGCGUUAAUCGGAAUUACUGGGCGUAAAGCGUGCGCAGGCGGUUCGGAAAGAAAGAUGUGAAAUCCCAGAGCUCAACUUUGGAACUGCAUUUUUAACUACCGGGCUAGAGUGUGUCAGAGGGAGGUGGAAUUCCGCGUGUAGCAGUGAAAUGCGUAGAUAUGCGGAGGAACACCGAUGGCGAAGGCAGCCUCCUGGGAUAACACUGACGCUCAUGCACGAAAGCGUGGGGAGCAAACAGG
rnacentral:rRNA from 1 species